UUACGGCCAUAUCAUAUUGAAACACCUGUUCCCGUACAAUCACCGAAGUUAAGCAACGUCGAGCCGGAUCAGUGCCUAGAUGGGUGGCCGCUUGGAAAUUCCAGAUGCUGGAA